rnacentral:rRNA from 1 species
GACGAACGCUGGCGGCGUGCUUAACACAUGCAAGUCGAGCGGUAAGGCCCUUCGGGGUACACGAGCGGCGAACGGGUGAGUAACACGUGAGUAAUCUGCCCAUCACUUCGGGAUAACUCCGGGAAACCGGUGCUAAUACCGAAUAUGACCACUUCAGGCAUCUGAUGGUGGUGGAAAGUUCCGGCGGUGAUGGAUGAGCUCGCGGCCUAUCAGCUUGUUGGUGGGUAGUGGCCUACCAAGGCUUCGACGGGUAGCCGGCCUGAGAGGGUGACCGGCCACACUGGGACUGAGACACGGCCCAGACUCCUACGGGAGGCAGCAGUGGGGAAUAUUGGACAAUGGGCGAAAGCCUGAUCCAGCAACGCCGCGUGAGGGAUGACGGCCUUCGGGUUGUAAACCUCUUUCAGCAGGGACGAAGCGCAAGUGACGGUACCUGCAGAAGAAGCACCGGCCAACUACGUG